rnacentral:rRNA from 1 species
UUCCAGACUCCUACGGGAGGCAGCAGUAGGGAAUCUUCGGCAAUGGACGGAAGUCUGACCGAGCAACGCCGCGUGAGUGAAGAAGGUUUUCGGAUCGUAAAGCUCUGUUGUAAGAGAAGAACGAGUGUGAGAGUGGAAAGUUCACACUGUGACGGUAUCUUACCAGAAAGGGACGGCUAACUACGUGCCAGCAGCCGCGGUAAUACGUAGGUCCCGAGCGUUGUCCGGAUUUAUUGGGCGUAAAGCGAGCGCAGGCGGUUAGAUAAGUCUGAAGUUAAAGGCUGUGGCUUAACCAUAGUACGCUUUGGAAACUGUUUAACUUGAGUGCAGAAGGGGAGAGUGGAAUUCCAUGUGUAGCGGUGAAAUGCGUAGAUAUAUGGAGGAACACCGGUGGCGAAAGCGGCUCUCUGGUCUGUAACUGACGCUGAGGCUCGAAAGCGUGGGGAGCAAACAGGAUUAGAUACCCUGGUAGUCCACGCCGUAAACGAUGAGUGCUAGGUGUUGGGUCCUUUCCGGGACUCAGUGCCGCAGCUAACGCAUUAAGCACUCCGCCUGGGGAGUACGACCGCAAGGUUGAAACUCAAAGGAAUUGACGGGGGCCCGCACAAG